rnacentral:snRNA from 1 species
AUUUUUUUUUGUAAGUCACAGUGUAAUUUAUGAAACUUACAUUGUAACUUUUGUAAGUUACAAUGUAAUUUUUUAAUCUUUGCAUGUAAGUUUUAAAAUUUAUAUUGGAUUUUGUCUUUUUCUUGAAGAUAUAGUAAUUUAGUGUUCAUUAU